CACGGCCCGGCCCCGCCCGCCGCGGCCGCCGGGACGGUUCCCAUGGCAACGCGGCCGCCGCCGCCGGGGCACAAAGGGAAGCGCGUCCCCUCCCGCGGGGCUCUCGGCUCCCAUCCCCGCACACCGACGGGGCACGGGCUCGUCCCUCGGGCACCGCCGAGCCGUCCCGCACGCCUUUGCUCCUCUGAGAAGAUUCCCCGUGGAAAGCACCGCUACCCCACGGCCGGUGCUUCCUCCGCCUUGGCGGGGCUUUGCCUGCCUGAUCCGGCAGGAGAGCCAACGGUCCUGUGAAACACAUGACUUUUGAAAGCGAGGACUGUAAACUUCAGAGCUAAAAGCAUUUAAUUGAGAAGACAGCAUCGCGCCUGGUGUAACUCACUUGUACAGUUUGCAUUUUCAACCUGAAAACAGAUACUCACAACAGAGGGUAGCGAGUACUCGGCAGACCCUCCCAGCACACGCAGGAUAACCAGACCCACCUCUCUUGGCUGUACAGAAGUUCCUCACUCACAGGUACUUCUCUCAGAUGCAAACUGCGUGCUGAGAAUUCAAAUCCAGCCUGAGCACAAUCCACACAAGUUUAAUCUACUACAGCUGUAGAAAUUCACAACCUUCAGCUGAAGGCUUCGGAGACCUCAGCCAGGGCAAGCAGGCUUUGCAGGUGUUUUUAUGAACAUCACAGAGCCUGUCCCACCUUCGCUUGGGGCACCGUGGUGGCUUCUGCAGCGGGUGCGCAGUGAGAAGCCUGCCUUCAAGACAAGAUUUUUGGCAGAGGACAGCCUGAAGGAAGAAGAGUGUGUACACAGGCUGCAUCCACAGUUGCUGCAAUUAAUGGUUCCAGUUCUGUGAAUGCAGCUCAGGGUCAGCAAGUACAUAAAAUACAUUUUCUUUCAACAAGACAACUAAAACAAAGAUCUGUCUGAAAAACAUGUGGUUUAUGCAGCUAGCUGUUUUCAUGCUCAGUGUUCUACCUAAUCUUUUUUGUAGACAACAAAAGGACAAGAUAGUGUGGGAGUUUUCAGUAUCUUUAAAUCUGGUUUAAGACAAGAAAAACAUGCAGGUUUUUUGUCUGUCAAAUAUUUCAAAAUAUAGGUUUUUAUGUUGACAUACUUUGCUUAGCAUGCAAAGUUAAAAUAAAAAUAAACACUUUAUCCCAGA